CAGUCGUACCAGCGGAUAAUCAACCUUUAGAUGCGAUUUUGUGGAGUGUGAGGAGCUAAUCGCCUUCAUACCUGUAUAUUCGUGUACUUGGGGUGUACUUAUUCGUGGGGUAAGUUAACAUCAAUUUUGGUGGUCAUAAAAUGACUGGAGGAAUGUAGCUUCGAUCUCGUAUUGAAGUGUUAUAGCCUUCGGUAGAUGUGAUGAUCGAGAUUGAGGAUUGCAACGGAUACCCUUCGGGGCUACCUGUCUGGUCUCUGAUCGUUGCUCUGGUGCCGAAAGCUUGCUUACGGUUAUCAAAGUCGAUGGUCAAUAGGUUAGAACGGGUUAAA
rnacentral:rRNA from 1 species